UCUCACAUCUUAACACCAUUCGAUAUCCAAGUCCCGAACCAAACUUUAAUAAAUAUCUAUAAUGGCGCAAAAAAGCACUUAAGCACAUGAUGUGUGCAAAAAACCCAUGUCUCGAAUCGAACUUUAAUAUUUAUUAUCUCUACUAAUUAAUAAAACACUCAUUGUCAACCAAAAUCUUAUGAAAUUACCAGUUUAACCUUUUAAUUAAAACAUAAUAUGAAUAAAAAAUAUGGAGCAUAAAUGUAAUUUCACACAACCAAAUUUUGCUUUUUUUUUUUUUUCAAAGCCUCACUUAUCCUAAUAUAUCUCUAAUUAUAAAAAAUAAAUAAAAUAAAAUAAAAUAAAAUAAAACUUCCCACUCCCAUAUUUUCUAUCACUCUCAUCCUCGCUCCUUCUAUUUUAAAAACAAAAAUAAAAUUUUUUCUCACACACACUGUGUGUGCCCAUAUGCUAGUAUAUUAUUAAAAUAAGCAAAGUGUGCAGAAAAGCACAUGAUGUGUUGUGUGCUGUCUAAAUUUCUAUCAAGCAAACUGCAAACAUAUAAAGAAUAGCCUAUUAUAUAAUAUUAAAAUAAGUAGAGUGUGCAGAAAAGCACAUGGGUGCUAUCUAAAGAGUCAAACUCUUUAGACAAAGUCUCUCCUAUCUCACUCUCUCCCAUCUCUGCCUUCGCCAAAGUCUUAGACUCUUUCUGUUUCUCCUCUCGAAUUCAAAGCUGAAGGGCCACCCAUCAACCCAUCAUCUCACAAUUUGACUCUGACCAACUUUCUCCACUCUGGCCACCUCUACACCUCACUACUUCAUCCUCACCUCCGAUUCUCUCCAGCAAUUCUCCGUAUGUGUGGGGUUUCAAAUUAAGGUUAGGGUUUCAAAUUGGGGCUUAGGGUUUCAAAUUGGGAGCUCGGGUCAGGAGGAAGACGAAGGUCUGACUAUCUCUUCACUCUGUCUCUUUCCCGACCUUUAAUCUUCAACAAUUCACUCACAGUCUCUGAUUUUAAAUUGCGGUUUUAAUGCAGGUUCAGAUGAGUUCAAGUUCGGUUUCGGGAAAUCCCGAAAUACUGAGAAUAUUUCGGAAAUAUCCAAAAUUUGGUUUGGGAUUCGUCGUCAAAUUUUCGUCCCGAAAAUAGUCGGUUUGGGACUUGAUAUGCCCUUUUUGGUUUGGUAUCUCAUACCAAACCAGCCGUAAUUAAAAGUUUAGAAGGAAAUUAGUUACUCUCACCACUAACUCUGCAAUAUCCAGCUGGAAUGAUUAAUGCGUUGCACCUAACUGUCAGCUGCCACAUGUAUGAAUUUACGUAAAAAUUUAUAGAUUCCGUGUAACAACCCGUCCCGAUAUUUUAUUUUCAGGUUUUUGGAAUGAGGGUACUUUCAUAAAUGUUCACUUUGGGUUAGAUAUUUUGUUUUGAAAAGUGCUGUUGGGUCUUAAUUUGUGUGCCUUGUAGGGCCACUUCUUUUGGGUUUGUUCCCCCCAGCCUAACUCUCCUCCUCCUUUCCCUUCCCUGUAACCUCCCUUAUCUAUUUCUUCUCUCACAACUCUCUCUCCCCCCUCGCUGUACCAUUUUCUUAUUCUCUCUUAGUACCUUACUACCCACCCUCGUAGCUCCAGCGAUCACUUCUACCUUUACGAACCUCCCCCAUCGAUUGACGUGGAACUCACAACUCCAAGCUCAUAGAGGUCUCUCUUUCUCUUCACAAUGGCACUACCACUGUUCAAAGGAUCCUCUGGCGAGUUCUCGCCAUUUUUGUUGUAGUUGUAGCGCUGUGGAGAUUUACCCAGAUUCUGAUGAGGAAACCGAGGCUUUUCGACCAUUUUUCGGCCAACCUCGGCCACGGCAGGCGACAAGAAAGGUGCAAUUGUGUAUGGCAUUUCCGUCAUUUCUUGUUUGCACGGCUCUUUGCCAACGGUGUAAGGUGAGUGAACCCUUUCCAAAAUGCAUAUUUUACUAUUAGAAAUGCAUAUAUGAAAAGCAUGAUUUUAUGAUUACGUUUUAUGCAACGUUUAUGAGUGAAUUGGUUACCAUGCUUUAUCAAUAUCAUGCUUUACCGACCUUACGUUCCUUGUGGUAUAUAUGAUGGAUGACUAUAUACAUACUUGUGAACGUGGUUUUAUGAUAUGACGUUUUAGCUACUGAACUCCGAUUAAGAUAGUUAUAUAUAUAUAUAUAUAUAUAUAUAUAUAUAUAUAUUAGAAAUAUUAUAUGAAUGUUCUUAUGUACUUACUUAGUGGUUAUUCGAAUGGUCCUACCUACGAGCGUAUGUUCUGCCUGCGGGCGUAUGUUCUACCUACAGGCGAAUGAUAUCUAUAUAUUGGCUUCGGUUGGGUGAUGUAGCGGCCUACGGGUCAAUUGACAUUUAUAUUAGCUACGGCCGGGCGUUUGGUUGGUGCCUAUGAACGGAAGAUACUUAUAUUGGCUUCGGUCGGGAGAUGUAGUGCCUACGGGCAAAUGAUACUACCUACGGACGAAUGAUUUGCCUAUGUGGGCGUGAUGUAGAACCUUCGGAUGAAGGAAGAAGUGUUCUAUAUGCCUUCGGGCGAAUGAAAUAUUAUUAUAUGCCUUAUAUAUACCAUUACUAAACACACUAUAUAUAAUAUAUGUUUUACAAAAGUUUUAUGGCAUGCUAGGGUGUUUGGAAAACCUAUUACAUAUUAUACUAUUGAGUUUUCGUAAACUUUGGGGGUUAAUACGUAGUUGAAUAAC